AACGAACGCUGGCGGCAUGCCUAACACAUGCGAGUCGAACGAGACCUUCGGGUCUAGUGGCGCACGGGUGCGUAACGCGUGGGAACCUGCCCUUAGGUUCGGAAUAACUCCCCGAAAGGGGUGCUAAUACCGGAUAAUGUCUUCGGACCAAAGAUUUAUCGCCUUUGGAUGGGCCAGCGUUGGAUUAGCUAGUUGGUAGGGUAAAAGCCUACCAAGGCGACGAUCCAUAGCUGGUCUGAGAGGAUGAUCAGCCACACUGGGACUGAGACACGGCCCAGACUCCUACGGGAGGCAGCAGUGGGGAAUAUUGGACAAUGGGCGAAAGCCUGAUCCAGCAAUGCCGCGUGAGUGAUGAAGGCCUUAGGGUUGUAAAGCUCUUUUACCCGGGAUGAUAAUGACAGUACCGGGAGAAUAAGCUCCGGCUAACUCCGUG
rnacentral:rRNA from 1 species